UAGGAUAUGGUGUAAUAUGGUAGCACGAAGAUCUUUGAAUUCUUAGGAGUAGGUUCAAGUCCUGCAAUUCUAG
rnacentral:tRNA from 1 species